ACCCUAAGAAUUCAGUAUCCUUAGUUAACAAUUCAGUACCUUUGGUUAACUGAAAGUGGGGCCCAUCCGAUUAAAAAAAUGCGCGGGUUAGAAUUUUUUUUACCCUUUCUUAUUCUUUAUUCCCCCUUUUUGCCCACUUUAUUGUUUCCAUUUCUGGAAUAUAGUUGCGCAUUUGGUGAAGAGCACGAGCAAGGUUGGGGGCGAUUCUGGGGAAAACGACAGUAAACGCCGCCAUUUUUUUGAGCGUUGUUUUUACCCGGCUCAUGGUACACCCGAGUGUACAAAUCAAUGAUUAGGGCCUGUUCUCAUACGUUGAAAUUCAGUUCAGUUAAGUUCAGUUCAGUUCAGCUCCUAAUUUCCUUCUCUUAUAAAAUAUUCAGUUCAGUUCAUUUCAGUCAAUGAGAACAUACCCUUAGUCAAAAUAAUCCUUGUUUACCUUUUUUUUUUUUUUUUUUGACUCAAAUCCUUGUUUACCUCUUUUGAAGUAAGAAUGAUCCUUCCUUACAAAAAAAAAAAAAAAGAAUCAUCCUCGACCGUUGAUAAUGUUUAGAUCUGACGAUUCAAAUACUCUUCCUCCUGCCUCUUCACUUUUCUUCCUGUUCCAAUGUUAAACCUCCUUUCUCCUCCAUUGAAGCUACUCUAAAACCUCCAUUAAAGCGGUUUAUGAGCUUUCUCUCCUCCUAAAUUCUCCAUUAAAAGUGGCUCCUGAGAUUUUUGCCCACCAAAGAAGCAGCUUCUUAGGGUUUUGCGUUGAUAGAAAUUAAGCCAUAAGAAGCUUGGAGCUUUUAACUGUUACACCGCGCUUCUUUCUCUCUUUCUCCAUUACAUGGUCUUUGAAUUCUCCAUUGAAGUGGCUUCUGAGCGCUCUCUCGUCCCUUGAAGCAGCACCGAGUCGUGGGAAGCUUUUCAGAUAUGCAUUUCCUUACAUGGGGAAGAUUAUAAUUUUGAUCGUGUGGAAUCUGAUUUACGUUACGGGUUUGUAAUGGACUGUUUUUUUACCUAUUACAGGGUAUUUUAUAAAAUUUUUACCUAUUCAUUCCAGGAGAUGAUGAAUAAUAUAAACUUGGGAAAAUUGGGUAAUUAUGAAUAAUAAUGUUACUUAUUUGUUUAUGUAGGUUUUGUUUGUAUAAAAAUGGGAUGCUUUAGGAUGCCCUUGUUGCCUUUAACAAGGGGUUAAGUAAGUCUGAAAUAGAUUCGUUUAUAAAAGCUGCCCUAGAGAGUGGUAUCUAUUUUACAUCAAAUGAACUGGAAGAGAAAGAGAAAGAUAAAGAGAAAGAUAAAGCAGAAGCUGUGGAAAAUGUUGUGCAUAGAAAGAGCAAGUUAUGCUUGGAAUAGGAUACAAGGAACCUGAGUAAUGACAGGUAUAUAUGUAAGGAACUUGAGCAAUAUAGGAUAAGCAAUAGAGGAACAAGAACAACGAUAAGUGUUAUGGUUGAU